rnacentral:rRNA from 1 species
GCCUUGCCAGCCCGCUCAGAAACUCAAAGGAAUUGACGGGGGCCCGGCACAAGCGGUGGAGCAUGUGGUUUAAUUCGAUGAUACGCGAGGAACCUUACCUGGGCUCAAAUGUAUGUUGACGUAUUCUGAAAGGGAUACUUCUUCGGACAAUAUACAAGGUGCUGCAUGGUUGUCGUCAGCUCGUGCCGUGAGGUGUCGGGUUAAGUCCCAUAACGAGCGCAACCCCUAUCAUUAGUUGCCAUCAGGUCAAGCUGGGGACUCUAAUGAAACUGCCUACGCAAGUAGUGAGGAAGGUGGGGAUGACGUCAAAUCAGCACGGCCCUUACGGCCUGGGCUACACACGUGCUACAAUGGUCGGUACAAAGGGUUGCCAAGCCGCGAGGUGGAGCUAAUCCCAUAAAACCGAUCGUAGUCCGGAUCGCAGUCUGCAACUCGACUGCGUGAAGUCGGAAUCGCUAGUAAUCGUGAAUCAGAAUGUCACGGUGAAUACGUUCCCGGGCCUU